rnacentral:lncRNA from 1 species
GGUGUUGAAAUAUGAGCUAAACAUAGAUAAGCUAUUCUUGAUUAUUCUUCAUCCAUACUAUUCUUAAAGCUUCCAUUAAUCUGAUCACUUGAUGUUAGAUCCUAAGUUUAUCGCCUAGCUAACCGCUUAGGAGAUAGCUUGACAUGUAUUGAAUGAGCUUAGUAUCCCUAAUCAGCGAAAGUAGAUAUUAGGGUAGUAAGUGAACUGAUCG